rnacentral:rRNA from 1 species
AAAUUGUGCUACUUAAACCAUCUGGGGGAUGGCUUGGCUUGAGUCGCCGAAGAGGGUCGCGGCAAGCAGCGAUAUGCCUGGGCGAGGAGCAUGCAUCCUUUGAACCCAGGAUUACCUAAUGGGACUUCCUAUCUUCGGAUACUCCGUAAGGAGAGGGAACCCGCCGAACUGAAACAUCUUAGUAGGCGGAGGACAAGAAAGCAAUAGCGAUGCCGUUAGUAACGUCGAGCGAACACGGCACAGGACAAACUGAAUCCCUAUUGGAAACUUUAGGGAGAUGUGGUGUUAUUGGACCGGUUAACAAUCCUCCUCGGUGAAGUUGAAAUUGGCUGGGAUGCCAUGCCGUAGAGGGUGAAAGCCCCGUAAACGUAAACUGAGUAGAUUGGAUCAGGUUCCAGAGUAGCGUCCGUUGGAUAUCGGGCGUGAAGUUGGGAGGCAUCGACUCCCAAUCCUAAAUACGUCUCAAGACCGAUAGCGUACUAGUACCGUGAGGGAAAGCUGAAAAGAACCCCGAAAGGGGGGUGAAAAGAACCUGAAACCAGAUGGUGACAGCCUGGCAUGGCAUGGAAGGAAUGAAAUUCUUCGAAAGAAACCACGGCAACGUGGCAGUAUGAGAAGAAGGGACUAAUGUCGUGUCAUCCGUCUUGAAACACGGGCCAGGGAGUUUUUUGUUGUGGCGAGGCUAAGAGGUUCAACCUUGAAGCCAUAGGGAAACCAACAUGCCCGCAGCAUUGCGAGGGGCGAGGUCUUAAUAGGGCCUGGAGUCACAGCGAUAAAACCCGAAGCCGGUCGAUCUAACCCAGGGUAGGAUGAA